rnacentral:rRNA from 1 species
CAAUUGGAAAGAGGAGUGGCGGACGGGUGAGUAACACGUGGGUAACCUACCCAUCAGAGGGGGAUAACACUUGGAAACAGGUGCUAAUACCGCAUAACAGUUUAUGCCGCAUGGCAUAAGAGUGAAAAGCGCUUUCGGGUGUCGCUGAUGGAUGGACCCGCGGUGCAUUAGCUAGUUGGUGAGGUAACGGCUCACCAAGGCCACGAUGCAUAGCCGACCUG